rnacentral:rRNA from 1 species
GACGAACGCUGGCGGCGUGCCUUACCCAUGCAAGUCGGACGGUCUAUCUUGGGCAACCGGGAUGGAUAGUGGCAGACGGCUGAGUAACACGUGAGGACCUGUCCAGUUGAGGGGGAUAGCCGCUCGAAAGAGCGGGUAAUACCGCGUAAGCUGAGCGAGCGUAGGGCUUGCUCAGGAAAGCGAGGGCGACCUUGCGCGACUGGAGGGACUCGCGGCCCAUCAGGUAGUAGGUGGGGUUAUGGCCCACCUAGCCGAUGACGGGUAGCUGGUCUGAGAGGAUGGCCAGCCAGACUGGGACUGAGAGACGGCCCAGACUCCUACGGGGGGCAGCAGGGGGGGAUCUUGGUCAAUGGGGGAAACCCUGAACCAGCGACGCCGCGUGAGGGAAGAAGGCCCUUGGGUCGUAAACCUCUUUUGCCAGGGAAGAAGGGGAGUGUCUGUGAGGGUGCUCUCUUGACGGUACCUGGCGAAUAAGCCCCGGCUAACUACGUGCCAGCAGCCGCGGUAAUACGUAGGGGGCGAGCGUUGUCCGGAUUUACUGGGCGUAAAGAGCGCGUAGGUGGUCUGAAGAGUCGGCUGUGAAAUCUCCGGGCCCAACCCGGAGGGGUCGGCCGAGACCUUUGGACUUGAGGGUGGUAGAGGAAGGUGGAAUUCCGGGUGUAGUGGUGAAAUGCGUAGAGAUCCGGAGGAACACCAGUGGCGAAGGCGGCCUUCUGGGCCACACCUGACGCUGAGGCGCGAAAGCGUGGGGAGCGAACCGAAUUAGAUACUCGGGUAGUCCACGCCCUAAACGAUGGACGCUAGGUGUCGGGGGUAUCGACCCCCCCGGUGCCCGAGCGAACGCAGUAAGCGUCCCGCCUGGGGAGUACGGCCGCAAGGCUA